ACUAAUUGAACCAAAAUCAAAGAGUUUUUUUCAUUGCAGGUCACAUUCUGUGUUUUUAUUACACUGCAGGUCACAAUGUGCUACUGAGGUACUUUCUAAUGGUUGAAGACAUGUUUGUCCUCUAAAAAGCUAAACUAAAGAUGGGUAUCUAGAGAUUUUCCAUUGGAGAGAGCAACGAAUGAUUCCGGCAGUUGACGUUUUAACGGCAGAGGCUGACGGAGAAGAAGAUGUCACCGCAAAAGAAGUGAGGUGUUAUCGGAGCACUGGUACACGACCAUCUCCGCCGCAAGCGCCACCUCCGACCAACCAGCCGUUGUCUCCUUCACAAGCGGGCAUUUUUCAAUCGCGACAGACGACGGUGAGCUGAUAUCCUCUCUGUCCGUUUCCGAGCUCCUCCUCUGCGACCAGUCUGCAAUUCAUCAUCACCAGCUGGUCAGUCUUUGCGCCCUCACGUCUCGUUUUCCUCCGCGUCUUCAAGCCGUGGUUCGUCAGGCUCCGUCGUGCCUUCUUCUGCGACCUCUCCUCCUCUGCAAGCGUCGGCGAAUCAAAUCGGAGCUCGAUCCGAUCUAUCGCAUCGAAGGGAUACAUUCCCAAACCAAGUGUUUUAUAUUUACACAACUGGUCCCUUAGCUUUCGACAGUUAACAAUUUAGACCUAAAACUUCCAGAUUUGCACAGUUGCUUUUCAAUUUGGUCCCAUAAUUUAAUCUCUACUUUAUGCCGCUUAGUAUGCAAAUGCAA